AUUGAACGCUGGCGGCAGGCCUAACACAUGCAAGUCGAACGAUCGGCGGACGGGUGAGUAAUGUCUGGGAAACUGCCUGAUGGAGGGGACUAAAUACAGGAAACGGUAGCUAAUACCGCAUACCAUCAGAUGUGCCCAGAUGGGAUUAGCUUGUUGGUGGGGUAACGGCUCACCCAGGCGACGAUCCCUAGCUGGUCUGAGAGGAUGAACAGCCACACUUGAACUGAGACACGGUCCAGACUCCUACGGGAGGCAGCAGUGGGGAAUAUUGCACAAUGGGCGCAGGCCGGAUGCAGCCAUGCCGCGUGUGUGAAGAAGGCCUUCGGGUUGUAAAGUACUUUCAGCGAGGAGGCGUUACCCGCAGAAGAAGCACCGGCUAACUCCGUGCCAGCAGCCGCGGUAAUUC
rnacentral:rRNA from 1 species